AACGAACGCUGGCGGCAGGCCUAACACAUGCAAGUCGAGCGAAGCCUUCGGGCUUAGCGGCGGACGGGUGAGUAACGCGUGGGAACGUGCCCUUUGGUACGGAAUAGCCCCGGGAAACUGGGAGUAAUACCGUAUGUGCCCUUCGGGGGAAAGAUUUAUCGCCGAAGGAUCGGGCCGCGUUGGAUUAGGUAGUUGGUGGGGUAAUGGCCUACCAAGCCGACGAUCCAUAGCUGGUUUGAGAGGAUGAUCAGCCACACUGGGACUGAGACGCGGCCCAGACUCCUACGGGAGGCAGCAGUGGGGAAUCUUAGACAAUGGGGGAAACCCUGAUCUAGCCAUGCCGCGUGAUCGAUGAAGGCCUUAUGGUUGUAAAGAUCUUUCAGUGGGGAAGAUAAUGACUGUACCCACAGAAGAAGCCCCGGCUAACUCCGUGCCAGCCGCCGCAGUAACAC
rnacentral:rRNA from 1 species